UUAUUUAUGAUAGUCACACACAGAGAGAGAGAGGCAGAGACACAGGCAGAGGGAGAAGCAGGCUCCAUGCACCGGGAGCCCGACGUGGGAUUCGAUCCCGGGUCUCCAGGAUCGCGCCCCGGGCCAAAGGCAGGCGCUAAACCGCUGCGCCACCCAGGGAUCCCCCCAGUCAAGAGGCUAAUGGGAAGUAACAUUCUUCCAAUGGGUGUCAUCAGUCAGUGAAUUCUAGGAGUUGGCAAGCAACAAUAAAAGUAGCUUAUGAAAGAGCAAGAAAUGAGUAGAAACACCCAAAAUUGGCCAGUAGAAUAUGCAAAUAUUCUCCACAGUUGCCUAUGAAAUUAAGAAAGGAGAAUGUGAAGGGAACAUGCAUAUCUGCAAUCCUGCAAGAGGAGUGAACUGGACUAACCACAGGCUGCUGUCUGUUUCAGUGCAUUCUGGUCCAUCUCUACUGCCGAUUAAUUGCCUAUGCUCAAAGACGGAGGUAAUCAGCUCUUACGCUUCUAGAAAUGUGUUGACCCCUUCUCCUAAGUACACACACACAGCCUUUUGCCAAAGUUUCUAGGCAUUUUGUCAAAGAUGCACUGUCUGUAAUGAAGUUGGGGGAAGCCAGGAGCACUAAGAGUGAAGCCCACAGCUGCUUGAAGAAACACUGCCAAGAUAAGAGCAGCUUUGAAGGAUAAACUGGGAGAUUAUGUUAGCAAGCAUGGCUAAGGCUUCUGGAGGGCUGGGGGAGGCUGCACUUCCAUCCAACGUUGUAUUACAAGUCUUAGAGUUUUAUUCUUUUUUAAUGAAUUAUUUAUGCCCCUGGGAACACCAAACAAAACGUUUCUUUCAAAAGAAUGAUAUUUCAUGGAAAGUGCUUAGACUUUGGUGUAAACAUUUUAGGAUGUAACAAAAUCACAAUGAUUUCCACAAAUGUCUUAAUCUAUUAGCAAGGAUUACUUAGGUGGAUUCUCUAUAGUCACACCAUUGCCUUUUCUGCAAAUAUUUUCUAAAGGAAUGGAUAACCUUUAGGUCAGG
rnacentral:lncRNA from 1 species